AAUUAUUGGCCGUGUGUCAGAAGGUUCAACCGUUACAGGAGAGUCUAAAAUUUACCGCACUCGGAGCUGAUUCUCUUGACACGGUUGAGAUUGUAAUGGUACUUGAGGAGGAAUUUGGCAUUAGUGUGGAAGAAGAAAGUGCCUAGACGAUCAUUACCAUUCAAGAAGCUACUGAAAUGAUUGACAAGCUUCUUGAGACCAAGGCUUAAACUAGCAAAGAGGAGGCCUUACAUGUCUAUUUUGGAUUUUUUUUUUUGUU